ACCCGCACAACCGGUGGAUAAUGUGGUUUAAUUCGAUGCAACGCGAAAACCCUUACCCACCUUUGACAUGUACGGAAGUUGCCAGAGAUGGCUUCGUGCUCGAAAGAGAGCCGUAACACAGGUGCUGCAUGGCUGUCGUCAGCUCGUGUCGUGAGAUGUUGGGUUAAGUCCCGCAACGAGCGCAACCCUUGUCAUUAGUUGCUACGAAAGGGCACUCUAAUGAGACUGCCGGCGACAAACCGGAGGAAGGUGGGGAUGACGUCAAGUCCUCAUGGCCCUUAUAGGUGGGGCUACACACGUCAUACAAUGGCUGGUACAAAGGGUUGCCAACCCGCGAGGGGGAGCUAAUCCCAUAAAACCAGUCGUAGUCCGGAUCGCAGUCUGCAACUCGACUGCGUGAAGUCGGAAUCGCUAGUAAUCGUGGAUCAGAAUGUCACGGUGAAUACGUUCCCGGGUCUUGUACACACCGCCCGUCACACCAUGGGAGCGGGUCUCGCCAGAAGUAGUUAGCCUAACCGCAAGGGGGGCGAUUACCACGGCGGGGUUCGUGACUGGGGUGAAGUCGUAACAAGGUAACCA
rnacentral:rRNA from 1 species